rnacentral:rRNA from 1 species
GUGCCAGCCGCCGCGGUAAUACCGGCAGCCCGAGUGAUGGCCGAUCUUAUUGGGCCUAAAGCGUCCGUAGCUGGGUCUGAAAGUCCAUCGGGAAAUCCACUCGCCCAACGAGUGGGCGUCCGACGGAAACUGCACAGCUUGGGACCGGAAGGCUCGAAGGGUACGUGCGGGGUAGGAGUGAAAUCCCAUAAUCCCGCACGGACCACCGAUGGCGAAAGCACUUCGAGAAAACGGAUCCGACAGUGAGGGACGAAAGCCAGGGUCUCCAACCGGAUUAGAAACCUGAGUAGUCC